CAAGACUUUCCGCAACGGAUAUCUAGGCUCUUGCAUCGAUGAAGAACGUAGCAAACUGGGAUAGUUGGUGUGAAUUGCAGAAUCCCGGGAACCAUGGAGUCUUUGAACGCAAGUUGCCCCCGAAGCCGUCAGGCCGAGGGCACGUCUGCCUGGGUGUCCC
rnacentral:rRNA from 1 species